AGUCGUAACAAGGUUUCCGUAGGUGAACCUGCGGAAGGAUCAUUAGUGAACAUAGGACGUCCAACUUAACUUGGAGUCCGAACUCUCACUUUCUAACCCUGUGCACUUGUUUGGGAUAGUAGUCGACCUAGUCGACGAACUCCUAUUCACUUAUAAACACAAAGUCUAUGAAUGUAUUUAAUUUUAUAACAAAAUAAAACUUUCAACAACGGAUCUCUUGGCUCUCGCAUCGAUGAAGAACGCAGCGAAAUGCGAUAAGUAAUGUGAAUUGCAGAAUUCAGUGAAUCAUCGAAUCUUUGAACGCACCUUGCGCUCCAUGGUAUUCCGUGGAGCAUGCCUGUUUGAGUGUCAUGAACACUUCAACCCUCCUCUUUCUUAAUGAUUGAAGAGGUGUUUGGAUCCUGAGCGCUGCUGGCCUUUAUUGGUCUUAGCUCGUUCGUAAUGCAUUAGCAUCCGCAAUCGAACUUUCGGAUUGACUUGGCGUAAUAGACUAUUCGCUGAGGAAUUCUAGUCUUCGGACUAGAGCCGGGUUGGAUUAAAGGAAGCUUCUAAUCAGAAUGUCUACAUUUUAAGAUUAGAUCUCAAAUCAGGUAGGACUACCCGCUGAACUUAAGCAUAUCAUAAAAGUCG
rnacentral:rRNA from 1 species